CCUACGGGUGGCUGCAGUGAGGAAUAUUGGUCAAUGGACGGAAGUCUGAACCAGCCAUGCCGCGUGCAGGAAGACGGCUCUAUGAGUUGUAAACUGCUUUUGUACAAGGGUAAACCUGAAUACGUGUAUUCAGCUGAAAGUACUGUACGAAUAAGGAUCGGCUAACUCCGUGCCAGCAGCCGCGGUAAUACGGAGGAUCCAAGCGUUAUCCGGAUUUAUUGGGUUUAAAGGGUGCGUAGGCGGAUUGAUAAGUUAGAGGUGAAAUGUCCGAGCUUAACUCGGGAACUGCCUCUAGUACUGGUGAUCUGGAGAGUAGAUGAGGUAGGCGGAAUGUGUGGUGUAGCGGUGAAAUGCUUAGAGAUCGUACAGAACCCCGAUUGCGAAGGCAGCUUACCAAGCUGUAUCUGACGUUGAGGCACGAAAGCGUGGGGAGCGAACAGGAUUAGAUACCCUUGUAGUC
rnacentral:rRNA from 1 species